AUGGCAGCCCAAGCCGCUGCUCCGAGUCAGGAUAGAAUGCAGCCGAGAGGAAAACGGAGCACACGUUUCACAAGGACCCGAGAUGACCCGCUGGCCCUCCUCGGAGUCCCCCAUCCCCACUGUCCACAGCCCCAAGUGGGGCUGGGGGCGCGGGGAGACAGGGCGAGGGGGGUGCAGUCGGUCCCCGUCCGCAGCCGCACACAAAGCCCUUCGCCUUCUCCUUGCCUCCCAAGCUCCUCCCUGGGCUUCGUUUUUUUUUCCGAGGGUCUCGGAUGCCCCCUUCGGUGGUCGGCGGGACGGUCUGACUGCCUCUCCAAACGCUGCCUCCUCCUCCCUCGCUACUCAGCCUCAUUCUCCCCGCCCGUCGCCACAGACCCCGAAAGGAGCCUGGUCCCGGCUUGGGGGGGCCUCACCGGAAUGCUGCUGGGGGCGAAUGAACGAAGUUGACUGCUCACCAGGAAUUUAAAUUCCUUAAGAUCUUGGCGCUUCAUCCUUAAAACCAGAAGAGCUGAUUGUUCCCAGAUCCUGACCCAGUGGCAUUCCUCCCUGCGAUGUUGGUCUUGUCCCAGGCAUCUUUUCAAGAAAAGUAAUUCAACUAAGAGAUUGAAAGCAAACUACAUGAAUUAACUAUAAGACACGUAAAAACCCAUGUGCUCUUGAAUGAGGAACUUGCUGGACUCUCUGCCUAUCUUUUCCUUUCACCUUUUAGGAUUCAGUUUCCUGGGUUCUACAAAACGGACAUGGUGGCCACUGUAGAGCCUGUGAAGGGGUUAGGGAAGGAGAGGUUGGCUACAACAGAGGAACUCUGCUUUCAGACUAUUAAGAGUCUGUAACAUCCUCCACAAAUUCCUGUGUAGUUCCCCCGACCCUCAUGGGAAGGAAAGGCCACUUAGAGACUACAUGACUAACCUCAGGCAUGGAACGGGCUGGAUUAAUUUAAGGUGUAGAAUUGAUGAGAAGCACAAAGGUAUGCUUGCUUCCCUUCCAGGAGUUCCUGUUGCAUGGCCCUGUGUCAUUGUCCACCUAAAUGAGCGGUGCUGUGAUCCUCGAAUUUUCCAUUCCCUACAAAUGACUACUUCUUAAUGGUUUGCAGUCUGGUAACAUUCCAGUGAAAGCGUGCCCCUCUUCCAAAAGAUUAAUUGGUGAUGAUGGUUUGGCAAAUCUGUCGACUUUUUCUAGGGUUCAGCUUGGGGGAAAAAAAUUAUAUACUCGCUUGUAGCAUUUAACAUUAUCUACCAGGCCUUGGUUGAGGCUGUUUUCUGCCAUGCUUCUAAUAUGGUACCCUCCUCCUUCUACAUCUCUAACUUCAGCUCAUUAUACCUGAAACUUCACUAUAUCCCAUAUCAAACCUGCUCCUCAUUUUAUUUUGCCAACCUAAGUUAAUUCAUUACUUUAACAAAGAUCAGUGUAACUCUUACUAGUCACUAUACCUAGAGUAGACAACUGAUAACAUUCAACAGUAAGAUAUCUACUGAGUAACUUAACUACAAGCUAUAUCUUACCCUCUGGCUUCCCAGGUGGGCAGUGUUAAAGAAUACACGUGCCAAUGCAGAAGACGUAGAUUUGAUCCCUGGAUCGAUCGGGAAGAUCCCCUGGAGUUGGAAAUGACAUCCAACUCCAGUACUCUUGCCUGGAAUAUUCCAUGGACAGAGGAGCCUGGUGGGCUGCAGUCCAUAGCGUCGAAAAGGGUUGGACACAACUGAUCCACUGAGCAUGCAUGCACUCGCGUCUUACCCUCAAGAAGCUCACUCUAAUUAACAUCACACAGACAAUUACCACAGUAUUUAACAAAGAUGUCUGUGUUCCCAAAAAGUGGUGCUCUUUCCAUAAACUCUUUUGUUCCAGUGAGUACAGGAGUAGGACAGGAGUGACCAGAAGAGGGAAUGGGAGAUAAGAAAAUGCAGAUAGUACAUCGGGAUGCUUAGUAUGUGAAAUUUGGUUGUGUAGGGGGUAGGGGUAGCUGGGAAGGAAGUAGGAUCUAAGGAGGAUUCUCUGUUUGUAGGAGUUUUAUUUGGUUUUUAAGAUGAGAGAUCCUUGGGGAUGUUUAAAUGCUGAUGGGAAAGGACUAGGAGACAGAGGGUGAAGACAGAAAAGAGAGAAAGGGUAAGGGAUUAGGCAUUCAACAAAUACUUGUUGAAUUAACUAAUUCCUGUUACGGAUCAUUGCUGAAGAUAUUGAGGUUGCAAUUAAUAAACUGCACAUUCCCAGCAAAAAUAUGCAGAGUCUGAGACCAGACAGAAAUGACAUUCCUUUCUCCCUCGUCAUUGGCCCUCCCCCACACUCCUGGUCCUCAGGGGAAGGCAAUAGAUAAUCCGAUAAAGUGGGGAAGAAGGGCUUCACAGCUGUUAGAGGAUGGAAGUCAAGUUCUCCAAUUCGAUGACAAGUUCCAAAAGCACUCAGCAACUUCAGAAAAGUCUAAGAUUUUAAGACUGUGGGUUUGGGUAUUAUUUCAUUAGUAAAGUAAGCAAAUAUUUUACUCUUGCUUUUUUUUUCUUUUUGACUUUACUUUG
rnacentral:lncRNA from 1 species